rnacentral:misc_RNA from 1 species
UAAUAAGUGUUUUAUGGCACUUUUUAAAUCCAUAUCCACCUUGCGUGCAAUGUCAGUCGAUCUUCUUCAUGGAGAUCGACCAAACAUCAACCUUUAUCUUUUAACUCUUUGUCUGAAUAAUAUUAUGAAUAAACAAUUCAAAAUA